rnacentral:rRNA from 1 species
GCCCUUGACUCUGGGAUAAGCCUGGGAAACUGGGUCUAAUACCGGAUAUGACUCCUCAUCGCAUGGUGGGGGGUGGAAAGCUUUUGUGGUUUUGGAUGGACUCGCGGCCUAUCAGCUUGUUGGUGGGGUAAUGGCCUACCAAGGCGACGACGGGUAGCCGGCCUGAGAGGGUGACCGGCCACACUGGGACUGAGACACGGCCCAGACUCCUACGGGAGGCAGCAGUGGGGAAUAUUGCACAAUGGGCGGAAGCCUGAUGCAGCGACGCCGCGUGAGGGAUGACGGCCUUCGGGUUGUAAACCUCUUUCAGUAGGGAAGAAGCGUAAGUGACGGUACCUG